CAGCAGCCGCGGUAAUACGUAGGGCGCAAGCGUUAUCCGGAAUUAUUGGGCGUAAAGAGCUCGUAGGCGGUUUGUCGCGUCUGCCGUGAAAGUCCGGGGCUCAACCCCGGAUCUGCGGUGGGUACGGGCAGACUAGAGUGAUGUAGGGGAGACUGGAAUUCCUGGUGUAGCGGUGAAAUGCGCAGAUAUCAGGAGGAACACCGAUGGCGAAGGCAGGUCUCUGGGCAUUAACUGACGCUGAGGAGCGAAAGCAUGGGGGGCGAACAGGAUUAGAGACCCCUGUAGUCCCUGUCUCUUAUAA
rnacentral:rRNA from 1 species